AACCCACCACAGCUCUCUCCGGCUCUCGUGAUCUCUUGCUCCACCCACCAACCCUAAUUCUGCACCGGCCAAACCCGAAGGAGAUGGAGGCUGGCGGCGCUAGCACGACUAUUACGAGGAAUAGGGAAGUUGCCGCGCUCGAGGGCCAUCUGGCACCGGCGCCGGCGGGAGCGGUGGCCGAUCCCGGAAUGGGCGAGGACGACGGAGGCGGAUCCGGCGAAGAUGGGCAAGAUCUCGACCGCCUCAGCAGCCUCCCCGAUGCGAUCCUCGGCGAGAUAAUCUCCCUCCUCCCCACCAAGCAAGGGGCUCGCACCCGGAUCCUCGUGUCUCGGUGGAGCAACUGAACCUCGACUGCCGUCACCUCGCCCGUACAUGGCACGAACUCCCUUCUCUCAUGCAUCGCAUCAUUAACGCCCACCAAGGCCCCGGCCGCCGCUUCUGCACUACGGAGCUGUUGCACACCAUAAGCGACAUAGAUGCCGUGGAGGCAUGUCUCCUGUCCACCGCUCUGGCUAGGCUCGAGGAGCUUAAGCUUAACAGCUGGAGAGGGGAGCCGCUGCCGGAAUUAGUCUUCCGCUUCUCAGACACCCUCCGUGUUUUCUGCAUUGAAAAGUGCAGCCUCCCGGAUGCCACCGUCCAAAGAUUUCAUUUUCCCCGGCUUCAGCGGCUCGAAAUUGUUCGUAGCAGCACCUCGGAGUGCACACUCCACAGCAUGAUUGCCGGCUGCUCUUCUCUGGAGUGCUUGCUAAUUUCUCGGUGCAGUGGACCUCGUUGCCUCCGGAUCAAUUCACUUGUCCUCAGAAGCGUUACAGUCAGCAAUUACCUUGUCUUGAAAGACUAUUCCAUCUUAAUCAGAAACAGGAUUUGCGUGUGUCAGUGCUCUUCGCGCCUAAGUUGGAGACCUUAGGCUGUACCAACUCCACCAGGCUCGUCUUUGGUUCUACAGAUAUUAAGGGAUCGCGCACAAUCAAGUGUUUGGCCCUCAGUAUGCCCACUCUUAGUUUGGAUAUGGUUAUUGGACUGAUAAGAAGGUUUCCGUGCUUGAAGAAGUUGUACAUUCAGCGCAACACCUCAAGGAAGAACAAUAAUGCAUGGCGUCGUAAAUACCGCGAUCUGCUCAAAAGUCUUGACAUCCGUCUGAAAAUUAUGGUGUUGAAUUAUUAUUCCGGCAGAAAACCUGACGUUGAUUUUGUCACGCCCUCAAUGCUGAACCAAUAGAGUCGAUGACACUUGUGGUCUAGACCGACGAUGAGGACUUCUUGGCAAAACAGCCUCGCAAGCUUCAGCUGGAGAAGAGGGCUUCAAGUGGUGCUCGGUUUCAUUUCACCACGGAACGACGCUACGAAUUUGGAUGCAAAUUAUCUUUUUGAGUGGUAGUUUUGAAAAUACUUCGUGUUUGGUCCAGUGAGAAGUUACCCUAUCCAACCAGCAAACCUUAUUUUAUGUUUCGUCCCAUAAGCUACUGUGUUUGGAGUAUUUUAGUUUGUAUUGACUUUGAACAUGUUCA